rnacentral:pre_miRNA from 1 species
AAAACAUUGGACCGUCGGUCUACCGAGCAAUAUCACCCAAUCGGUGGAAGAUCUUCCUUUUAUUCGU